rfam:Triticum aestivum genome assembly, contig: Triticum_aestivum_CS42_TGACv1_scaffold_131032_2BL
GUUGUACAACCUCCAUCCCAAAUUACUUGUCUUAGAUUUGUCUAGAUACGGAUGUAUCUAAAACGUGUCUAGAUACAUCCGUAUCUAGACAGAUCUAAGACAAGUAAUUUGGGACGGAGGGAGUACUAC